CUAGCGACUUCAGAGUUUGAUCCUGGCUCAGGACGAACGGCUGGCGGCGUGCUUAACACAUGCAAGUCGAGCGGAGACAUUUAACGGAAGUUUUCGGAUGGAAGGUAAAUGUUUUAGCGGCGGACGGGUGAGUAACGCGUGAGCAACCUUUCUCUCAGUGGGGAAUAACACAGGGAAACUUGUACUAAUACCGCAUGAGACCACGGCGGGGCAUCCUGCAGGGGUCAAAGAUUUGUUGCUGAGAGGUGGGCUCGCGUCCGAUUAGGUAGUUGGUGAGGUAACGGCCCACCAAGCCGACGAUCGGUAGCCGACCUGAGAGGGUGAUCGGCCACAUUGGGACUGAGACACGGCCCAA
rnacentral:rRNA from 1 species